CCUGCCUCAGCGAAGCCCCUCUAGCCCCGCCACGCUAGCCUAGAGGAAAUAGGCAAGCAAAUCCUGCUGGACUCGAGCUUGCUACUCAGGCGUAUGGAUGCAAAGCUGAUUUGCUGCUCUUCUUGAUCAUGCGAUUUUUGUCUACCUAUGCUGGCCACAACACACGAAUGUCCAUACCCAACUAUAUAAUCCACUCUGAUCAAGUAAACUAUUGAGUGAUUGCAACUAGCCAGGAACAUGCGUGUUCGUAGCUGCUAUCAACUGCCUAGCUAGUUAGCUAAUUUACAUUGUUGCAUAAAGCACCAGCCAAACAGGUCACAGUAUUCCCAAUACAGCAAAAUAUUUUGAUAUGUCAAAACUGUGGUAUCUUGCACCUACGGACUAAAAUACUGUGGUUUUUUAAUACUUCAGUUUUUGCAAUACCUUGCUAUCAAACACAGCCUAAUUCAUCUCCAAUUCUUUUUUUGAAAGUAAUUCAUCUCCAAUUCUAACACGUAAAAUCAGACACCAUAUCCGUUCGCGUACUAGUGAAGACUAGUCCGCGAAAAAUGCUAUGGUAGCCUUUCGUCUUUAAUUUUUUAAGUCUGGAAACUCAAAAUAACAACAUAGCAAAUCGUAUAUGAUUGAAAAUAUUGACAGUAGUUCAAACUUAAAACUAGCACAUAUGUUCUAGUUGUCCUCUUUAACCGCCCAAAGAUGCUCAAUACAAUCUUCUUUGAGUUGCUUAUGGGGUGCUCGAUGCUGAAUUUGUUGAUGCAUUUAAACAAAGUCAUCAAACGUGUUCUGAUGGGGAAGUUGGAUAUGAUCACUCAUUUUUCUUGAAUUCAAGACCCGCGACAGCAUUUUCACCCUCAUCCUCUAUGAUCGUGUUGUGCAUGACCAUAGAACAUGUAAUCACCUCCAUAAGAUUUCUGAAUCCCAUUGUUUAGCAGGUCCACGAACAACUGCAAAACAGGAGCACUCAAAAUGCCCUCUCCACAUCCUUUCUAAAUUCUUCUUAUCUUUGGGCAAGUAAGACCAUUUCUGACCAACUGGCUCAGAGAUGUUGACAAAAAUAGCCCACGAAUGAUAGAUACUGUCAACCAGAUAAUAGGUCAUAUUGUAUUCAUGCCCAUUGACAGUAUGGUUGCAAGGAGGAGCUUGUCCUUCAGUCAACCUAGCAAACAAUAGAGACCGCUGCAGCACACUGAUGCCAUUGUGAGACCAGGACAUGCCAAAGAAAGCAUGCCAAAUCCAGAGGUCCCGUGAUGCAACUACUUCAACAAUGAUGGUGAGCUUCUUAACAUGGCCCUGAUAUUAGCCUUGUAGAGCUAUUGGGUAGUUCUUCCAUUUUCUGUGCAUGCAACCAAAAGAUCCGAGCAUACCCGGGCACCUUCUUGCUUCGUACAUUGCCAAGAGCCUCUCGGUGUUUGCAAUAGUUGAUUCUUUCAAGUACUGAGGUCCAAACACCCCUAUCAGAGUGGUAGAAAAAUCUGACUGUGGCGUCUUCGCAUGUGCUCUUAGAGAUCCGGAGGUAUUCAUCCCAUGAAUCUGCGGCCGUACCAUAUGCAAGCAUCUGCAAUGCAGCCGUGCACUUUUGGUAACCAGAGAAUCCAAUUCUUCCUAUCUUCUAUAAUACGAAGCAGUCACCGUAGGACCGGACGCCAUUGUAGAGGAUAUCAAAGACACUUUUUCGUAUCCGAAAGCAUUGGCAAAAAAUGUCCAUGAAUAAGGCAUCACAGGCAAAAUAGUUGUCCAUUAGCGUCAAAUGGCCCCGUGCGCUCCUCCGAUUGCGCACUUGAUGACCCUUGAUCGAUCCCUCGAAACUGAGAACAUGCUUUUCUGCAGCCUCCGCUUCUACAAGCACCGCCUGCAUCAUCACCGUUUCAUCCACAUAGUCCUCCUUAUCGGAUAAGUUGUCGAACAAUUGAACGUAGUGCUCGUAUAUGUACUCCAUUUCCUAAUCCUUUGCUUCAAAGAAGGGCAAAAAAAUUAGCACGGGCAUGUUGGACAUGGUGACCCCCGUAGGGGCGGAUGGUACCUAUGCGACAGAUGGACGAGAGGUCUGAACCGGUGAUGGAAGACAAGCAGUAUGGAGGCCGGGCGUAGCGAUGGAGGUCACAUAGUUCCAUGAAGGACUUGGCGGGCAGCCAUUGUGGAAGAGGAGCGACGUCGGCGAGAGAGAAAGCAGAUGUAGAGCAAGAGGAAAGUAUGGAGACGCGGGUCCGAGCGGGGUUUUGGGUGGGCCGGGGUGUCGCAGUCCUAUGUGGAUGGUGUCCAGACUCCCACAAAGCCCCCUGAUUUGCUUCCGGUUUGUGAUAAAAUGAAAGUCCGAGCUAGUCCGCGGACUGAUGCGGUAUGAUGUUGGAUGGCAAACUGCGUCCGAACACAUCAGUUUGUAUGCUUAUGGGAGGUUUGAUGGUCUGCUUUGGAGAUGUUCUAAGGUCAUUCCAACAUUGUCCCUUGAAAAAGACACAUUGUUUUUCCACUGGACCAGUCCACGGACAUGGAUACAGAACCGAUCAUCCAACCGCACCCUCUAAACGUCCACCGCCCGUCCAGGUCCGAAAAUUUUCAUUCUGAACGCAUAGCAAUACGAGAAAAUGAAAGUGCAAUGUUCAUAGUGCUGUAUCACAACCAAAAAGAGGUGGAUGUUUAAAGUUUUAACAUGCGCACGAUCACAAAAUAACCAAUCCAGCAGUCCGUGCAGAAAAGGACAUUUUCCCCUCCCAUAUUGGCUGUUCAAGCAUCUUGCUCACUCUGCCGCCACCUCCUUACCAUCCGCCUUCACUUCGACCGCCAAGCACUUCAACAUCUUCACACGAAAAACACGCACAAUCAUCGCCGCAUCCGAAUCCAACUCGACCAUCCUCAUGGUGAACAUUUUGGUAUUCUUCGAAGUAGUCGCAAGCUCAACCCUCAUUUCUUCGAGGUCGAUCUUCUUCUCGAUAGAUGCCAUAAAGAUGUUAAAACUCUCUGCCUUCUUUUCCUCCUUCAUAUCGAAGCACUUGACACAUGCAUUCUCCUUCACCAAGAUGCUCUUGAACCUCACCAUCAUCUUGGCUACCGCCCCUUCUCACUUCUUCUUCUACGUAUCCCCCUCCAUCAUGGAUCAUCUUCAAACUGCAUGUCUACGUCAUCAUAUGCCAUCUUGCCCGGUUGAGACAUACCAGCAAACAGGGAGCGGGCACCAUGUUGAUCCACGCCCAGAGUCUGCGACCGUACAAGCUAAGGCGAUGCCCAGUGGGUGAAAUGGAGCGGCAUUGCGUUGACGUAGACGCAACAUGGCACGUACCCCGCGGCGAAGGCCGGGGACUGCCAGUCGAGCUACUUGCAGGCUUAGAACUAGGUGGAUGAUAUUUCCCUAGUUAGGGCGGUGUGUGCAUGGAUGACGUCGGUGGUGGCGCCCCGCGUCCCUGGCACGCUCGCCACCCCGUCGCCCUUAUUUUUGUCGGUCGGCCCAACAAUUGCCUUCACUUUGGUACGGCAGGCUUGCUGUGUCACCGAGUUGAUCUUCUGGGCGGCCACCUUCUUCAGAUCCUCCUCCUCUGUCAACUCCGAGGACUCUUUUGUAUGUGUCAAUGCGGCGGCGGAAGCGAAAAGCAUAGGAAUUGGGGAGAAGAGCCACGACGAUCAGCGUGAAGAGUACGGCGAAAGAGAGGUUUUAAUGCAAAAAUAGUGCGAACUGCUCCAAAUGCGCGGGCUUUGCCUCAGUUUUGGGUGGCCGAGGGUGUCGAAGGUCCGUACUCUAGCAAAUCCCCAUAGUUUGCUUCCAUUUUGUGGGAAAACGGACACAUGAACGCGUUCGCGGACAAAUAAAAGUCCGCGUUAGAUGAUUUGCAACAUUUAGAGUGCUCGGUCUAGAUGAUGGUGGUAGUUUUGAGGGUCCACGUUGGAGAUGCUCUAAGGUCAUGUAUUAAGCAUCACAUGUGUCAGUGUCAAAACCGGCGGAUCUCGAGUAGGGGUCCCGAACUGUGCGUCUAAGGCGGAUGGUAACAGGAGGUAGGGGAUACAAUGUUUACCCAGGUUCGUGCCCUCUUGAUGGAGGUAAUACCCUACGUCCUGCUUGAUUGAUAUUGAUGAUAUGAGUAUUACAAGAGUUGAUCUACCACGAGAUCGUAGAGGCUAAACCCUAGAAGCUAGCCUAUGAUAUGAUUGUUGUUGUCCUACGGACUGAACCCUCCGGUUUAUAUAGACACUAGAGGGGGCUAGGGUUACAUAGAGUCGGUUACAAGGGAGGAGAUCUACAUAUCUGUAUUGCCAGGCUUGCCUUCCAUGCCAAGGAGAGUCCCAUCCAGACACGGGACGAAGUCUUCAAUCUUGUAUCUUCAUAGUCCAACAGUCCGGCCAAAGGAUAUAGUCUGGCUGUCCGGAGACCCCCUAAUCCAGGACUCCCUCAGUAGCCCCUGAACCAGGCUUUAAUGACGAUGAGUCCGGCGCGUAGUUUUGUCUUCGGCAUUGCAAGGCGGGUUCCUCCUCCGAAUACUCCAUAGAAGAUUUUGAACACAAGGAUAGUGUCCGGCUCUGCAAAACAAGUUCCACAUACCACCGUAGAGAGAAUAAUAUUUCCACAAAUCUAAUCUGCUGACACGUUUUGACAGCAUGACAUCAUGUCAUGGCCCGGUCAUUAUUCGAGACCGUUUUUCUCAACCAGCACCGCACAUAUCGCGAGGUGGUUUUCUUGACACGUCUUGUCAAAGAAGAGAUCGUGUCCCCCUUAUUACGGGAUUCUCAUCAAUACGGACGUGGGUAACCCAACCGCGCCAUCAAUUACGGCGCUUGGGGAAUAAGCGAUUUUACCAGGCAAGUGGGGAGGCGCAUCGCCUCUUCCGCCCUUAUAAAGGGACAAUGAUUCACCCUUUUCACCCACGCCUUCUUCCUCCUUGCUUAUCCAUUCUCGCACACUCGAGCUCCAGCGCCCAAGUUCGCGUCUUUCUCCUCAAACCACUCCAGGCAAGUGGAUGGUCUCCUCCGUCACGGAGGAGCACAUCGCAAAGUUACGGGAAGCCGGAUAUCUGGCCGCGGAUAUCGCGCACCGGCUGCCAGAUGCGGGGCAGAUCAUUCCUAUGCCCGAACCCUAAGAGAGGGUAGUCUUUCUUACCCACUUCGUCCGUGGACUGGGAUUUCCCCUCCACCCGUUUGUCCGUGGGCUCAUGUUCUACUACGGGCUGGAUUUUCAUGAUCUGGCCCCCAAUUUCAUCCUCAACAUCUCGGCGUUUAUCGUCGUGUGCGAGGCCUUCCUCGUAUCAGGCCCCACUUCGGCCUGUGGUUGAAGACCUUCAAUGUCAAACCGAAGGUGGUGGUCGGCCAGCAAGCAGAGUGCAGAGGCGCCAUGGUGGGCAAAAUGCCCAACGUCACCUGGCUCGAAGGCUCCUAUGUGGAGACCAUAAAUGGGUGGCAAUCGGGGUGGUUCUACAUCACCGAGCCGCGCGACACCAACUGGGUGGCGGCCCCCAAAUUUCGAUCCGGAAUCCCCACGCGGCUCACUUCCUAGAAAGAGAAAGGUUUGUCCUGGGGUUCCCCGGUAGAGCUGACUGGACUCCAGACCUGUAUCCGAAACAUGAUGAGCACGAAAAUCAAGCUCGUCAACAUGGUCCAGGUCAUGCUCUUCCGCCGGAUCCUCCCGUGUCAACGACAGGCGUUCAAUCUGUGGGAGUUCGACCCGGCCAAGCACCAGACGCUGCGAGAGCUCUUCGACACGACGCACAAGGAUGUCUGGAAGGUGCUGUUCAAGGGCACCGAGGUACCUCCUCCCCUUACCGAGGACCGCGGACUCAGCACAGAGCGCCAUGCCAAUCCGGUAAGUUUUUCAUAUCUCACAGGAUAUUUAUUUUCCCCAGUUUAAUCAUGUGCGGGAUCGAAGCUUCCACGCCAUUAACAGGACUGGGUAAAGACAGCAGAGCAGCUCGAUUGCCCAGCCCCCCUGCCUGAAGAUCCUACAGAUGCUCUCCUAACAGAGAUGCUGGCUCCGGCACCUUACGAGGUGCCGGUGAAGAAGACCAAAAAGAAGGCCACGGGGACCCGAAAGGGUCUCCGGCGCAAGGUUAUAUAGGACUCAUCGUCCGAUAACUCCGAUGCGCCCUCCUCCCAUGAAAACGAGGAGGAGGAAGAGGAAAGUUCUCCCCCCAGACGGGGGAGACAAGAAAAGGAAGGCCGACCCAACCGGGGAGGCCGAAGGGUCCAAGAAGGGAAGGACCCUCCUUCCGGACUGCUCCACGACGGCCGCCUACAGCGGUGACGAGUGGUUACCCAGGGAGAAGCCCCUGGCGAAGUCGUAAGUAUCCGGACACCAUAGUAAUUCAUGGUAUGUUUUAUUGCGUUGUUUCUCAUUACGCCGCAUAUGAUUAUGCAGUCCGUCCCGAGCCCAUCUCGACGUAUCUUCGUCGGACGGUUCAUUGGACUCGUCGGAUAUGAAUAGCGAUUCACUUCCGACCGCCUCCACCCCUUGCCCUACGGACAACGUCGAGGUGUUGUCCCGAAAGGCACCGAGCCGAGGGGAGAUAGUCCUGGGGGUGCCUUGAGGCGACCUUCCGGACCCUAGGCGCAAAGGGAGCAAGACUCCCACGGGCUCCAAGUUCGGCCCCCAGCCGAAUACUGCCCCGGAACCUUCAGUGGUUCCGGACUCCGGUAGGUGAUCCCCCGUUAAGGGGGCAAGCUGCCCAUGCCGGUGUCCUCUGUCCAUCCAGAGGCACCGGACAACUUGUUGGAAGCGCUUCGCGGCGCUUCCAUCGACGAAGAGCACCACACUAUCAUGAGUGCGGUGAUCGAGAAAGUUCAGUCGACCAAAAAUGGACUGACCGAAGCUUGCGCCAACCUCCUAACAGGCUUUGAGGUAAGCAAUCAAAAUAUGAGAAAAUAUUACCACAUAGAUAGUAGCCCCUGAUGCUAUGUUUGACGUUUGCGAAGAAAGGCCGAAUAGAGGAUCAAAUAAUGACUUAGGAGUCUAAUCAGAAUAUGUCUGUGUGCAUGUGCAGGCUUCACUGCUAGCCAUUGUCGCACGUACUGUGGAGGUCGCUGCACUGAAGCAGGACCUUGAGCGGUCCGAGAAAGAGCUCGGCCUUACCAAGAGGCAGCUCGAGGAGAGCAAAGGUAAGCAAUACCUUGUCUAUAUAUUAAAAAGGAAUUUGGUUGUAAAGUAAUAGGAUCAUUAUGAAUUUGUCAGGGGCCACAACCGAGGUGGCGACCCUGAAGAAGGCACUGUCCGAGGCCGAAGACAAAGCGGCCAAGGAGCGAAUUGAGCGGGAAAAGUAAGAAGCCCGGGUAGGCGAGGUGCAGCAAGAGCUUGAGGUUCUCGCCAAAAAACACGAGUCCUUGGAGCUUGACUCUAAGAGCGAGAGUCCGAGCUUGCGAAGGCGCUCGAAAGCGCACGGAGCGCCAAGGCUGAAGCCCACAAGGCCCUCCAGGAGAUGGAUACGGUGAAGAAGAUAGCAGCAGGUAAGGCAUUCAUUAUGCAAAGCAAGCAUGUGAAGGAAACUUUCCUUUUACUUACCCGAGUUCGGAGCUCUCCAGGAGCGUUCGCAGAUCUUCCCCGCAGUGUACUGGAUGCCGCGGAGUUUUACCGAGCUAAGGAGGGGAGCUCGACGGAAAAUUUGUUCUGGUCUCAGUAUACUGGGACCGAACACCCAAUGCCCUUGAGCGACCAGCUGAAGCAACUGGUCGAGCUUCACAAGGCGGCCGAAUAGGCCAUGAAGGGCCUUAUAGUCCGGAUGUGGCCUGGCGAUCCCCUGCCUAGCAGCUACUUCGGUCUGGUGAGGCGGCUUGUGGAUGCCUGCCCACGGCUUGAAGUUAUAAAGCGGUCCGUCUACAUCGAGGGUGCGCGCAGGGCCUUUGCCCGGGCGAAGGUGCACUGGGCGAAGCUGGAUGCCGUGAAGCUGGUGAAGGAGGGGCCGCCGGAGGGCAAGGAGCAUCGCUGCCCCGAAAUGUAUUAUGACAGUGUCCUGAAGGGUUCCCGCCUUGUGGCGGAUGAAUGUGCUAGGGAUGUAAUUUUUGAAUGAACAUGCUCAUGUGAUCCUGUAAUAUGAAACGAGUUCAUUUGCGCUAUGCAACGCUUUUUGAAUUUAAAAUAUUACCUUCUGUGCGGCCGUUUAUAAAAUCUGAGAGUUGGCCAGUCGUUGGCUUCUACCCCCAUGUAACUAGUAUUGGGGUGUUUGGGAUAAACCUGAGCACUCUUUAUCCCAAUUUUGGGUCCUUUGAGGGAGGUGUUCAGAACAACGACCAGGCAAUCGGACUAUACGUCUUUAUCACUCUCACUUAGCCAUAGAAGUCUACAAUUUUAAAUUUUGACGAAGCCCCUAGUAUUCGGAAGGCCGAAUUGGGGGCGCUAUAUACGCCUAAGUCGCACAAGACCGACUCCUCGCCCGAAGCGGAAAAAGUCUUUAAGGACUUGAGACCUCUCGAACAGCGACCAGCUCUAGCCUUAUCAUGGCAGUCACUUUUCGGCUUUCUCUACUGAGGUGCUCGUCCGGAAGAACCGAGACACAAUCAUAGUAGUUCUCUAGCGCUACCUUAGCCGAUAUAGCGGAACGUAAGGUACCAAAGCAUGGGAGCCGGGCAAACCCAACUAUUGACCCAAGACAUGAUUCAGAGCUGAUGCAUAUAAUGCUAUAAGUUCGGGGUGCCGCAUUAUCGAAAGUGUUCGGACUUCUCACGCCGUAUUAUGGGGUAAACGAAAGCCCCUGGCGUACUGACCGUACCAGAAUGUACGGGUGCAAGUUGUUGUAAAUGAACAUAUAAGCAAAAAGGGAUGGAUAAUGCAAUAAUAGACUAAUGCUAUGCAUUGUUAUUUAAAUAAUACGUCGAAGCGUACUGAUACAAGUAGUGCAAUAAGCAGAAAAUAGGACUAUUUGACAUGUUCUAUCCAAGGGCAAGCUGCGUAUGGAUAGUAGAAAGCGGGUAUAUCGAUUAUUAUUAGAGACCACCUGGGGAUUCCCGUGUACAUCUUAGCUUCUUGCCUCCUUGGUUGUUCCUUCCCGUAAUGUGUCCGGCAAUCGUACUGCCGGAAAGGGCUUACAGAGAGUUAUGUCCUGAAAGAGAAAAAUGAUAAAGGUAUACAGCCCCUAGGGCGGUUAAGCCGCAUUGCGGGACGUGCCUUGAUCGUGCCCCCGCCUAUGCCCAUGGUAUUUUCAGUGCGUAAUUAUGUACACGCGGUACGGAUUUCGUCGCUUGACUAGGACUGGGACGGGGGCCGAAUUUCUAGGCGAGCUCUGAACGUGCUAGGCGAUCCUGUUGCAGUUUACUCCGGACUCGCUUGACGGUGUCCGGGGGAUGUAUCGCCGAAUUGGUGGUUUGCCUUAAAAGGCUGCUUUCUGCUUCUGUUGUGAGGGCCGUAGUGUGCUCUUCCGUGUGGAGCGAGCGUUCUGUGUUUCCAUUGACUGUUAUGACCCCCCUAGAUCCUGGCAUCUUGAGCUUGAGGUAUGCGUAAUGCGGUACCGCAUUGAAUUUUGCAAAUGCGGUUCGGCCGAGCAGUGCGUGAUAGCCACUGCAGAACCGGACGAUAUCGAAGAUUAACUCCUCGCUUCGGAAGUUGUCCAGAGAUCCGAAGACCACUUCCAGUGUGAUUGAUCCCGUGUAAUGGGCCUCUACACCUGGGAUGACGCCCUUAAAGGUGGUUUUGGUGGGUUUGAUCCUUGAGGGAUCUAUACCCAUUUUGCACACUAUAUCCUGAUAGAGCAGGUUCAGGCUGCUGCCGCCGUCCAUAAGGACUCGAGUGAGGUGAAAUCCGUCGAUGAUGGGGUCUAGGACCAGUGCGGCGGAUCCGCCAUGAUGGAUACUAGUGUGGUGGUCCCUGCGAUCAAAGGUGAUCGGACAAGCGGACCAUGGGUUGAACUUUGGGGUGACGGGCUCCAUCGCAUAGACGUCCCUUAGUGCACGCUUCCGUUCCUUAUUGGGAAUGUGGGUUGCAUAUAUCAUGUUCACCAUCUUCACUUGUGGGGGGAACCUCUUCUGUCCUCCCGUGUUCGGCAGCCGGGGCUCCGCCUCAUCAUCGCUAUGCAGCCCCUUGUCCUUGUUUUCAGCAUUUAACUUGCCGGCCUGCUUGAACACCCAGCAUUCUCUGUUGGUGUGAUUGGUUGGAUUAUCGGGGGUGCCGUGGAUUUGACACGAGCGAUCAAGUAUGCGAUCCAAACUGGACGGGCCCAGAGUACUUCUUUUGAAUGGCUUUUUCCGCUGACCGGAUCUAGAGCCUUUGAAUCCGGCAUUGACUGCCGUAUCAUCGGUGUUAUCGCCGUUGUUGCGGGGCUUUUGUCUAUUACGAUGUUGUCUGCCGUUGGCAUCUUUGGUAUCCGGAGUGCCCGGAUUCCUUGAUGUGUUGUUUCUGCGAGCCAGCCAGCUAUCCUCGCCCAUGCAAAAGCGAGUCAUGAGUGUCGUGAGGGCUGUCAUAGACUUCGGCUUCUCCUGGCCGAGGUGCCGGGCAAGCCACUCGUCACGGAUGUUAUGCUUGAAUGCCGCUAAGGCCUCUGCAUCCGGACAAUCGACAAUUUGGUUUUUCUUAGUUAGGAACCGUGUCCAGAAUUGCCUGGCCGAUUCCCCUGGUAGCUGAGUUAUAUGGCUUAAGUCAUCAGCAUCCGGUGGUCGCACAUAAGUGCCCUGGAAGUUGUCAAGGAAUGCGUCUUCCAAAUCCUCCCAACUGCCAACGGAGUCUGCUGGCAAGCUAUUCAGCCAAUGUCGAGCUGGUCCUUUGAGUUUUAGUGGGAGGUACUUGAUGGCAUGCAGAUCAUCACCGCGGGCCAUGUGGAUGUGGAGGAGAAAAUCCUCAAUCCAUAUAGCAGGAUCUAUUGUACCAUCAUACGAUUCGAUAUUUACGGGUUUAAAACCAUCCGGGAAUUCGUGAUCCAUAACUUCAUCAGUGAAGCAUAGGGGGUGUGCGGCGCCUCUGUGCCGGGCUAUAUCACGACGCAGUUCAUAUGAGUCUUGUCUGCUGUAUUCGCCCUGGCCGGAUUUACCUUUAGUGUAUCCGGCGUGACGGUCAUCGUCCCACAUUGGCGCACGCCCCCGUGACCCGUAUAUCGACCUUGCAUGUUUUGCCCUGCUGUCCAAUACGUCUCGCAGGUCCUGUGUGUUGCCCUGGGCCUUGGUAUUUUUGUUUGAGUGGCGACGGGGUGCAGGUUGAACUUCAGGCUGAAACUCCGCUCUGGCUCGGCCACGAAGUGGCCGGUCAGCCGCAUCGUACACUGGUGAUGUAGGUUUCAAUGCUUGCUCCUCGAGGUGAGGUAGAAACCUGUGCUUUGGUUAACUCUUGGAGGGGCGCUCGAGUUCGUAUUCCUCGGCCGCAAGGACUUCGGUCCAUCUGUCUGCUAGCAAGUCUUGGUCAGCUUGAAGCUGUUGUUGCUUUUUCUUCAAGCUAUUUGCUGUGGCCAUAAGCCGGCGCUUGAAGCGCUCCUGUUCGAUGGGAUCCUCAGGCACGAUAAAUUCUUCGUCGCCGAGGCUCACCUCGUCUUCGGAGAGAGGCAUGUAAUUGUCCUUCUCCGAUUCUCCAUCUGCUGCCCGCUCUGGAGGGCUAGCUUGUUCACCCUCCCGCUCUAAAUUGUGUUGGGGGGAUUGUUGUCGUCUUCGGCACUAUCCGGUGUGUUAUUGUCUCUUGUGCCGGUAUCACUACUUUUGCUAUGGCGGGACUUAGAGCGGCGCUGCUGACGUCAGCGCUUGGGUUGUUUCUUGGAGGGGUCAUCCUCCGCUGUCUCAUCGCCAUUGCCUUCUUUGGGGGUGUCCACCAUGUAUAUAUCAUAUGAUGAGGUGACGGUCCAGCGCCCUAUGGGCGGUGGUUCCUGUUCGUCUCCAGCAUCGUUGUCCAUGCCGUCGAUGUCUUCGGAGUCGAAGUCGAGCAUGUCGCUUAAAUCGUCGACAGUGGCUACUAAGUGGGUGGUGGGUGGGGAGCGAAUCUCUUCGUCGUCUGCAUCCCAUUCUAGCCGGACAUAGUUCGGCCAAGGUUCUCCUGACAAGGAGAGAGACCUUAAUGAAUUUAGCACAUCGCCGAAAGGUGAAUGCUAAAAGAUAUCCGCGGAGGUGAACUCCAUGAUCGGCGCCCAAUCGGAUUCGAUAGGCACGGAUGCAGGCGGCUCGGAGUCCGUGGCCGGAGACAAAUCCAGUGGUUCGGCAACACGACUCUCGUAAGGGGUGAAGUCAGUAUCCGGCUCCAUCACCACUAAGAGUGCGGCCUCCAUGGCGGGGUCUAUCCCUCCAUCCUCGGAUGGCGCAAUUUGCUCCGGAUUGAAGGCCGGAGUAGUUGCAGAUGCAAUCUCCCGAACACUGUCUGACGACAGAGUUACGUCAUGCUCGUGGUGAUUGUGCGGCGCGCCUGACAUGGGCUCGAAUCCAUCGAAGAUCAAGUCUCCACGGAUGUCGGUAGUGUAGUUUAAGUUUCCGAACCUGACCUGAUGGCCAGGGGCGUAGCUAUCGAUCUGCUCCAAAUGGCCAAGCGAAUUAGCCCGCAGUGCGAAGCCGCCGAAUACGAAGAUCUGUCCGGGGAGGAAAAUCUCACCCUGGACCGCAUCGUUACCGAUGAUCGAAGGGGCCAUCGAGCCUUAUGGUGAUGGCACAAUAGAACUCUCAAUGAAAGCACCAAUGUCGGUGUCAAAACUGGCAGAUCUCGGGUAGGGGGUCCCGAACUGUGCGUCUAAGGCGGAUGGUAACAGGAGGCAGGGGACACGAUGUUUACCCAGGUUCGGGCCCUCUUGAUGGAGGUAAUACCCUACGUCCUGCUUGAUUGAUAUUGAUGAUAUGAGUAUUACAAGAGUUGAUCUACCACAAGAUCGUAGAGGCUAAACCCUAGAAGCUAGCCUAUGGUAUGAUUGUUGUUGUCCUACGGGCUGAACCUUCCGGUUUAUAUAGACACCGGAGGGGGCUAGGGUUACACAGAGUCGGUUACAAGGGAGGAGAUCUACAUAUCCGUAUUGCCAAGCUUGCCUUCCAUGCCAAGGAGAGUCCCAUCCGGACACGGGACGAAGUCUUCAAUCUUGUAUCUUCAUAGUCCAACAGUCCGGCUGUCCGGAGACCCCCUAAUCCAGGACUCCCUCAACAUGUCCUUACAAAUACAUCCUUACAAGAAAAUCAUAUUUUUUUGCGUACCGAAGUAUUCUUCCUCCUACAUCCACCGUCAGCGCGCCAUGAGCAUUGCUCCAUGCCAUCUCUAGGUCUCCGCCUUGGUGGAUCAAACUUUUUUCAACCCAGGAGCUUGUAGAAGCAACGGUCGGAAGGUUAUUGAUGCAUACCAUGAGAUGCCGACAACCGCGAUUUGUGAAGCAAAUCACCGUGAAACACUGAUAAUGGCUUGUUGAAACUCCGAAGACUAUGAAAUAUGACCAAAUCCAGGUGGAUCCAUCGGAUCUCGGAAGACCAAGCCAAAGGCAUUGCUCCACACGCCUCCCGCCGGCGAUAAGUACCCCAAUGAAACGAGGAAAGAGCGGGAGAACAUUAUUCCUAUACUGGAACAACACCACUGCCUUGUCGUCCCGAACCAAACUCAAAUACUCCCAAAAGAAAACAUGAAAAAAUUACCCAUGCUGCUACAUGACAGGUCCGAGUACGAUGUCAGUACAAGGUGGGGCAGUUAAGAUGGUUUUUAGGGAAACUGGGUGGUGGAAAAAAUAGAGCUACAUGAAAAAAUUGGAACAAAGAAAAGGAGGGGAGCCUACGUAAGGUUGGAUGAAACACUCUACGAUGCAGAAAAAAGAACACUAUUAUUUUUAAGUACUAGAGCCAUAACUAAAAAAGACUAAAUAAACUAGAUGUGACGGGAAGAGCUAGUGUGUGACUUGCCAUAGUGAGAACCAAAGCUGGAGGCAGUCUCAGCGGUGUCAAAAUGGGUGAGGGUAUCUAGGUCCCAUGUCGGUGAGGCGCCAUCACCGGCAUAGAGUGAUUGCGCGACCCCAAAUGAUGCCCUCCAUCCCAUCAACCAUCACCCUUGCUUCUGCCAUGCCAUUAUUUAACUUGACCUGCCUUGCAUUCUCAUCAAAUACAUGGGCAGGCAGGGCAAUUUGCGGUGGCAGCAUGAUGUGCCAUCCAUGCUUCCUUUAUGCCGAGGGAGCGACGAUGGAGCCACAUCCGUGACACAUGUCUUGCGGGACCUGUCAAGGAUGCUCUCGAGUACAAGAUACUGGUCGUCCAAAUACAAUCUAUAGUUUAACAAUCCUCCACAAGAUCUUGAGGCACAUUAGUUUGUCAUUUGUUGUAAACAAUGUUGUGAUACACCAGAAUUUUUAGUGGAGACUGUCAAGUUGAACUUGCACCUAGAGCAAUGGGAUUAGACUUAUUCGCGACCAAACAAUGGACGGUGCCUUAAAUUGUCUGUUUAGCUUGGAGAAGUUUCACCUAUUGCUGAUACUUGGUUGCCUAAGGCUAAACCCCACGGGUGGAGCUUAUUAGUCAUACUCCUGACCUGUUCAUGAGCUUCCUCGAGAUUACCCUAUCUCAUAGACCGUAACUAGUAGUCGGGCUCACAUAGGUGUGUUCCUCUAAAGAAUACUCUGUAGGAUAGCAUCUUGCUUACACAUGCUUUGAAACACAUUAAGAUAAAAGUCAGCCCACCUUACAAAUUACGAGAGUAUUGCAUCUCCAACGGAAUGGGUUAGUAAGGAUAUUCUCCUCAGUUGACCACUGGCUUCUUUUCCCAGGUCAUAAUUCACGGGAUCUCCGAUCACAUAGGUUGGGUUACCCCCAUGGCAACUUACGUGGGUCUCAUGCCCAUCUCCCUCGAUGCAUUUUAUAUCACAAUCCGUGAUAGCCCUUUCAUAAAGGGUGCCAGAUUCUUAGCCGACUGGAUAUAAUCCAACGCUAUUACUCUGGAGUUUCUUGAAUGCCUGACAUAUUUCAAUCUUCUUCUUAUAUGCUUUGUGGAUUUCAUGUUGUCCUUUGAACUCUUUGCCUUAGCAAUCAUUGUAUGAUUGUCACAGUUCAUAAGGAUAGCCGGAACUAGCUUAUCAAACACUGAAAAAUCCAUCGGAAGUUCUUGAAGCCAUUCUUCUUCGACACAUGAUGUGUCUAAUGCUAUGAAUCUUCCAUAGUCGAUCUCACUAAGAUCGUUUUGCUUGCGAGACUUCCAGGAAACAAUACCACUACUAAGUGUGAAAACAUAUCCACUUGUGGCUUUCAUCUCAUCAACAUCAGAUAUCCAAUUUGAAUCACUAUACCCCUCAAGUACCAUGGGUACCCAAUAUAGUGAAUUUGGUAGUUCAUAUUACCUCGCAAACAAUGCAUGACUCGCACAACAGCAUGCCAAUGCACAUCCCCCGGAUUGAAAACAAACCAGCUCAGUUUGCACACAACAAAUGAGAUGUCGAACUCAGUAGCACAAGCUAGGUACAUGAGCAAACCAAUCGCUUGAGAGUAUCUGAAUUAAUCUAUAGUCGUGCCUUCAAAUUUUCGAAUCCGCACGCUAGGAUCAUAUGGUGUUGCAAAAGGUUUGCAGUCCGAAUGUCCAAAACAACUCAAAAUUUUCUCAACAUAGUGAGAUUGCAGAAGUGUAAUUCCACCCUAAUUAUCUCUCAGCAGCUUGAUGUUUAGGAUAACAUCAGCCGCAUCAUUCCCAUGUCGAGGUGAUGCGGUAGUUGGAAAAAUCCAAUUCACGUUCAUGGAUGACACAUAUCAUCAUGUGUGCGACCGACGAUAACAAUAGGACAAGUGACAAUGUAUAGAAGGUUGCCGACAUUUUCAUAAAUAUAUGGGUCAGAGUAAUUACAAAUUUUCUCAUCGAGGAUGACGUAGGCUUGCAAUGUUCUGUGUAGAUUGAACGGCAAAAUUUGUCAUAGACGAUGCAUGAUUCGAGCUCCUCUUAGUCUGAAUGAAUUUUUCUGCUCAAUACGACUCCGAUGGCGCAAAUGCUUAGCCAAUGGAGCUCCAAUGCACAAAAAUGAUGACGACGUCGAGUGGUAGGUGGCAUCUUAGAGUGGAUUAUUGUGCGCGAAAGAAGUAGGAGUCAGACAUAGUUGUGCGUGUGUUCACGUCUCUCUUUGCAACUAGCACCAAUCUUUUUAAUCUCUUUUUUUUUUACAGAAGACAAUUCUAGUUCUUGUGCAAGUCUGGGCAAAGGGCCAAAGUGGGGGUUCGGACGCGGCGUACAAAGGCCCAAAGUGGGGGCUCGAACGUGAGUUGCCAAAGCUCAGGAUGUCGUACCAAGGCUGAUAAAAAAGGUGGAGAAAUAUUACUCCCUUCAAUAUUAGGUAUAGAUAUUUCGAAUCGAGUAAACAUGCAAUGUGUAUCCAUACCCGAGUAAAACUCAUCCCACAUCUAUUUCCGACAACAUCCGUAUUCGUAUUUGUUUUAAGAAUAUAGAAACUGAACUGGGAAGAGCACUAACCUAUCGGUAUCCGAUCCUGUUUCCACCACUAUAUACCUAGUAUUGCAAGUGAAGAGGCGAUUGCACAUCCAUCUCUUUUUUGUGGGAGACACUGUUAGUUUUAUUCCUCUAUGAUAGGAGGGUUACACCGGGAGAGGAUUUGUGGCACAUAAGUGUAGAAGCACCAAGUAACUCGCACGUGCUUUUCCUUUUGGCCUCCGAUUUCAAUCUUUCAUAUUUUUUGAAUGAAAAGUCUAAACUAAAUUCUGUUUUCAUAUUCGUAUUUCUUGUGAUCAGGGCUUUCAAAUAAGAUUCAUUUUGAAUAUAUUUUGACGAGUGACCGACAAAAUCAAAAAAAUUGUACAAAGUAAAUAGCUUAAAGUUUCAACUUUGGAACUUGAUACGAGUGGCCAAAAAACACAAGUUUCAGACGCAAAAUCGUAAAUUUCAAGGAUUAAAACUCAAAACUAUGCUCUCGUGCGGCAUACAACUACUUUACGAAUUGCGAGGCAAUCGGGUGGCUGGGAAUAGCUGGGCUGGGCAGGUGCGUGCUCCCACACUUGUAUGCCCCUGCGAAUUUCCAGGUUUACCAUGAGCUAUCAGGAGUUAAUGAAAUACAAUAUGGUGGUUCACGCAACCAACAAACCGUGUGUCUCCACUCUACCAAAAUUUGCCAGACAGUUGGCGACCCUAUUCUGCUUAGAUUCAACUUUUUGAAAGAUAAACUCACGGCCUUCCAGUAAUUAUUGAAUUUCCGAUAUCAAGUAUCCGUUGCAUGACCUGUCCAUACCAUGAUUAGAUAUGGAAUUGAGCGCUGCAGAGCAGUCAGACUGAAUUAUAACUAGGUCACUACACCACUGAUGAAGUUUAAAUGCGAUGCCCUUCAUGAGUGCACAUAAUUCAGCCUCCAAAGAAUUGUUGCAGUGAAGCAACAUGCGGCAGCUCAAAAAAAUAACGUCACCCGAACGAGUACGAGGAAUCAUCCCUGCACCGGUGCUUCCUUGUGACUCGACGUAUGAUCCAUCAUCCAUGUACGUACGGUUCGGUCGCUUGACAAUCACUGCCACCAGAUCGAUAACUACGUACGCUGACGUGUUAGAGUCGAAAUGAUCACCUGAUAUAGAGUUCAAUCUGUAGCGAUAUGCUACGUUCUUAAGCUCGACAGGAACUUAUAUCUCCACGGAAAAAUGCGUGGCAUUUUAGGACUGUCACGCGGUCUCACUAAUUACUUGUUUGUGUGCUGUCAUUAGGUACUCCCUCGUGAGCAAGCGGCGACUGUUUCCUUAAGAAUAAUGAGAUGUCAAAUAGGUAAUACUCCCUCCGUCCGGAAAUACUUGUCAUCAGAAUGGAUAAAAAAAAUGUAUCUAGAUGUAGUUCUAGAUAUAUCACUUUUUACAUCUACAUCUAGAUACAUUUCUUUUUGUUCAUUUUGAUGACAAGUAUUUUCGGAUGGAGGGAGUAGUUGUUAGUCUCUGUGACUGUAAAUCGUGUUAGUGCGGAUGUCGAUCAAAACAAAACGUGCAUUUAUUUGUUGGACCACGCCAGGGGCCGGUCGACCGGCCCAACUUUCGGCUGGUCGCCGUCGAGCCGUCUGAUGCAUGGAUCCCCACUUGACAGACCAGGCAACCGUUCCCCUUCGCCCCCUUCCAUAUCAUCCACCUCAAGCCAGCUGCACACCGGCGCACAAAAAGAAAAACCGAUGACCGAGCGUCCCUGACCCUGUCAUGGACGAGCGAAACGACCGGCGUCGAACCUCGUCUGCUCGCCAUCCUCGCUCCGAGGCAGCCACGGUUCCAGCAGAAGCUUGAGCCAUGGUUCAGCAAAUCUCAACCACGGUUUUAGCUCUCCGCAAUCAUGGUUCUAGCUCAGCGCGGUGACCGUCACAGACUCGCAGCUCGCCGCAGCCAUGGUGCCAACUCGCCGUGGUGACCGCCAUAGCUUGCCCACUCACCGGUUCCAGCAAGCUGAGUCACGGUUCAAGCACCCCGUGGCCACGGUUCCAGCUUGCCGCGACCAUGGUUCCAACUCGUCGUGGUGACCGCCAUAGCUCGCCGCACUCAUCGGUUCCAGCACCCCGCCUCUACGGUUGUAGCUUCCGCAUUGUCGGUUGAAGCUUUGCCCAUCAACAUUUCCAGGGCCACUGUCGGCGAGUCAUAGCAUCAUGUGGUCUCCGAUGCACCUUGUCGGUCGAGGUAGUAACAAACAUAGUCGCCGAUUGCAGCUCGCCACGAGCCGGUUGUUUUUCAUUGGCAACCGGUUGCCACAUCCACCCUAGACAGAUGUCUUGCUGGCUUACGGUUGCAGCUCGGCCGGACGGCCCUAGGUUCCAGUAUCUGCUUCUGCUGGUUGUAGUUCGCCAGCGCAACGGUUGCAACACCCGCCUGUAAUAGUUGUAGCUCGCAGGUGUGAUGGUUGGAUUUCGUCGGCAUGAGGGUUGCAGCAUCCUCCUGUGUUGUCGGUUGUAGCUCGUCGACAUGAUGGUUGUAGCUCAUCGCCCCCUCAGUUGCAGCAUGGCCUUUGCGAACAACCCUCCGUGCGGCAAUACAUGUAGCAACGGUUGUUGGGGGUUUGAAGCGGCCAACACGACGAUAGUGUGGGCUUCAUGGUGGUUGCUGCAAAAGGAAGGGAGAAGGAAUGGCGGGGAGCACUGGGAGGAGCGGCAUAGGAGGUGGAAGGAGAUGGGGGAGAUCGGCACAGAGAGAUGUGUCGCUAGGAGCCAUGAGGAAAGGGAUAAUGUACAAAAUGAGGCGGUUGUACAGGGCCCACGUAGGGAGGACGUGGUUCUCUAUGUGAGCGCUACCGGCGGAAGCUUCGGCCAGUCGAUCGGAAGGAAACAUUUACAUUAUUAUUUUUAACAUAAAACAACUUUAUUCCUCAUAUGAUAGACAUAUCGUUUACAAUUUAGGGGAGGAUAAAGUCUGGAUAUUAGAAUCCCCAAAAUCAAUUAAGCUAGACCUAAAAGCAUGUUUAGCUGAAAAGUCGGCAACCUCAUUGGAUUCUCUACAGGAAUAUCAAUAGCUAACAUUUGGGAAAUCAAUACCAAGGAGGGUCUGCCACAUUAGGCCCAAAAUAAUCAUCUGAAUGCGUAAUUGCUUCCACUACCAACAUACUAUCAGAUUCAGUGAUCACCGUAUUGCAUCCAAUGUUUCCUGGCAAGAACAUACCAUUCAGGAUUACACUCGCUUCAGCGACUAACAUGUGGCAAAACACAGGUCACAUUAGCUAUAAAGUUUCCUUUGUAGUCUUGCGCCACCGCUCCGCUAGAGCCCGAGAGUGCCCCAACAUGAAAAGAUGCAUCAACAUUGAUAUUUACAGUCCCCUCCAUUGCUUUCUUCCAAGUAUGAAUUUCCUUACGGAUAGGGUGAUUUAGUGUUGCUGCUCGAACAAAAUUAGCUGCCAUAAUCUGAACUGAAAUAGUUGUAUGGUCUUUCUCCUUUAGAAACUUGCCGCCGUUGCUACCAUAUGUACCACAUAGGAAUCAAUAUUAACUCAACCGUAGGUAGAUUCUCUAGUCUCGCCCAUUUUUUUCAAUAAGAUUUCCAAUGUAACAGAACUAGAACAAUCCUGAGCCACUGCCUGCUAUAUAGUAUCAUUGAGUCCAAUUUCUUUCCGAACCUCCUCUCAUGCUUCCAAUUGAACAGGGUAUGUUGGAUGCCUUCAUGUCUAAUUCUCCACCUUAGGCAUUGGGGUAAGACUGGGAUGUGCCAUCCGGCCAAUACACCCAAGCACGGCAGCACACCUUUAAGGACCUUCCACCCGAAGUGUUUAAUCUUGCCUAGUAGUCGAAGCUACUAGAGGUCUUUCCAUAUGGGGUUUAUGUGUACACAACCUUUUUCGUCCGCCCUACUCAUCUGAUGCCCGAACUAAUGGUGAAACUCGACACGGUAAGCUGACUGAACCGAGUAGGUUCUUGAUCCGGUAUGAUGCCAAGCUACAAAGUCGUCUAUAGCCUCAGUUCGAAGAGGAAUUUGUAAGAUUCUGUUUGUAACCACCGGUGAAAAAAGGGACCUUAUGAGAUCAACAUCCCAUUGUCCCGUAUGAGGAUCUAUGAUUUCCUCUACUUUGCUUAGCAUGUAAACGACGAUCCUUUGUUCAGUCUAGCCUUUAGAAUGUCCCCAUUAGGAUAGUACUUAGCACGUAAUACUCGUGCACAAAGAGAUUCUAGAUACUGGAGUAGUCGCCAAUAUUGCUUUGCUAACAUACCGUAAACCCCCUACCCCCUUUUUUUGGUACACACAAUUUCCACCAGGCGAACCAAUGCAUCCUUUUCUUCUCUUCUCCACCCCCAUCAAAAACCUGAGAUCUCAUCAGUAAUUGAUUUGCAAAUUCCUUUCGGCAGCUUAAACACUGACAUUGCAUAGGAAGGGAUGGCUGGUGCUACAAAUUUUAGUAAUAUUUCCUUCCCUUGCAUUGAGAUAACUUUCUCCUUCCAACCUUUAAUCCUUUGACAAACUCUGUCAACUAAGUGCUGAGAACAGUCAUUCCUGUCAACUCCAACCACUGUAGGUAACCCCAAGUAUUUAUCCGAGAGAGCUUCUGUCAAAAUAUCCAGGUCCCUACAAACAUCUUCCCUGACCCUGACACUUGUAUUGGGACUGGAACUAAAGAAAACACUAGAUUUAUAGCAGUACUUACACGCUGUCCCAAGCUAUCACAGUGAGUAUUCAGAAUUCUCUUCAAAGUAUUUGAACUAUGGGUAUUUUCUCUCAUCAGAAUUAAUGAGUCAUCUACAAAAGAAGGUGAGAAUAAGAGGGUGCUUUUAUGCAAACGUGAAUACCCUCGAUGCCACCUACCUCCUCCUCAUGAGAUAGUAAACUAGAUAGACCUUCCGAAUAGAGCAAAAAAAGGUAUGGAGAUAGUGGACACCCCUGUCUUAGGCCUCGAGUAAGUGUGAAUUCAUCGGUCUCUGUGUCAUUAAACCCGAUCCUGUAGCUGACAUACGAGACACAUUCCAUGAUCAUCUCAACCCAUUGUGCAUUAAAAUCAAGGUUUAUCAUCAUCUACUGCAGCAACCCUAUUCAACUCUAUCAUAUGCUUUAAGGAUGUCUAAUUUAACUUCACAAUACCCAUUAGAUCCAUGAGUUUUCUUCUUUAUGGAAUGAAAGCACUCAUAGGAUACAAACACAAUAUCAGUGAUCAACCUUCCUGGAACAAAUGCGUUUUGGGUAGGGGAAAUAACUUCUGGUAGAAUUUUUUCCAAUUUGUUUGCAAGCAUAUUUCAAAUUACUUUUUACAAAACAUUUCACAAACUAAUGGGCUUGAACUGAGUGAUUACCUAUGGGCUAUCCACCAUCGGGAUCAGUACCCCAUUAGUAGAGUUCCAACCUUCUAGAAUCUUUCUUGUGUUGAUCGCUUGAAGCACCUCAUUGGUUAGUUCCUCACCAAUUAUGUGCCAAAACCUUUUAAAGAAAAUUGUGUGAAGGCCAUCUGGACCAGGAGCCUUGUGUAUGGUGCCGUUAAUAUUCUGUUCAUAUCCCCCGUAACUAGAAGAUUAACAGUCGCCAAUAAACUCUCAUCCGCCAGACCUGCAUCUGAAUGGAUGAAAUUCUAGAAAUAAUCAAAAAUAAGGGGCUUGAGAUUUUAAUUACCGUCAACCCACAUAUUAUUAUUACUUUUCAGUUUUUUGAUCAAGUUCAUGUGCCUACAUGCAGAAACAAACUUAUUGAAGUAUUUUGUGUUGCGAUAUCUAUCCCACAGCCAAUUAACUCAGCCACACUGGAAACAAUAAAUUUCUUCAUGUGCUAGAAGAUUUUUAAUGAAUGAAGUUAACUCUUUCUGUUUCAUGCUAGUAUCAUCUAUGAAGAACGCACACAUCAAUUCCUCUAGUUGUUUCUGUGUCGAACAUAGCCAGGUUCUCGGUCCUUUCAGCACCUUCUGGUCGCAUUCGUGUAGCUCCUUAUGCACAUGUUCUAAUUUUUUUAGUCGAUAGGCACAACUCGUGCACAAUAUCUUUUUGCCACACUAUUUUGCUGACUUCUUUCCUCUGUCUCCUCUUCAAGCCAACGAGUCUCAAAUCUCCCUUGAGGAUGUGGGUUAGCAGUCGCCACUCACGCCAAGUGUUAUGUGUCCAAGCAUAUGGGGCGAUGGUCUGAUUUCCCCAUCUCUAAGUUGCUCAAUCCCAACAAUGUAUGCAUCUCCAUCAACUCCGCAUUAGAGAUGGCAUGGUCUAGCUGUUCCGUAGGCAACCUGAAACCAAGUAAACCUAUCGCCGUUGUAUCCAAUGUCCUGCAAGGAACAAUCAUUCGAAGCAUCCUGCAAUGCUUGUAACUGUGACUGAUGACACGAUGCUCUGAUACGUCUCCAACAUAUCUGCAAUUUUUGAUUGUUUCAUGUUAUGAUAUUACCGAUCUUGGAUACUUUAUAUGCAAUUUUAUAUCAUUUUGGGGGACUAACCUAUUAACUCAGUGCCUAGUGCCAGUUGUUGUUUUCUGCUUGUUUUUGGUUUUAUAGAAAAUCUAUACCAAACGAAGUCCAAACACUACGAAGCUCAAUGACGAUUUUUUCAAGACAUAGGAGAUCCUAGAAGCUUCGGGAGAGGACCAGAAGACCUACGAAGAGACUGCAAGGUAACAGGGCGUGCCCUGAUGCCUUGUGGGCCCUAUGUAUCUCUGUCUGACAUAAUUCUAGCGCUAUAAAUUCCCAAAUAUUCCAAAAAACCCAUAGAGCCAGACGAAACAAUUUUUCCGCCACCGCAAGCUUCUAUUCUUCCGUGAUCCCAUCUGGAGGCCUUUUUCAAUACUCAAUCGGAGGGUGAAUCAAUCAUGGAGGGCUUCUACAGCAACCUUGUUGCCCUUUCGAUGAUGUGUGAGUAGUUUACCAUAGACCUUUGGGUCCAUAGCGAUUAGCUAGACGGCUUCUUCUCUCUCUUUGAUCUUCAUACAAUGUUCCCUUCGGAGAUCGACUCGAUGUAAUCUUCUUUUGCGGUGUGUUUGUUGGGAUCCGAUGAAUUGUGGAUUUAUGAUUAAACUAUUCAUUGAAAGUAGUUGAGUCUUUUCUGUACUUUAUAAUGCAUGAUUAUUAUAGCUUUGUAUUUUUCUCCAAUCUAUAUGUUUGGUUUGGCCAACUAGAUUGAUUUAUCUUCAUUGGGAGAUGUGCUUUGUAGUGGGUUCAAUCUUGGGAUGUCCUCAGCCAGUGAUAACAAGGGUAGUGAGGCACAUUUUUGUAUUAUUGCCAUUGAGGGUCAAAUGAUAGGGUUUAAUCAUAUUUCUUGGUUUUAUUCUAUCUACAUCAUGUCAUCUUGCUUAAAGUGUUACUCUAUUUGUCAUGAACUUAAUACCAUAGAUGCAGGUAGGAGUCGGUCGAUUGGUGGAGUAAUAGUAGUAGAUGCAGGCAGGAGUCGGUCUACUUGCCAUAGACGUGAUGUCUAUAUACAUGAUCAUUGCCAUGAAUAACAUCAUAACUAUGCGCUUUUCUAUCAAUUGCCCAACAAUAAUUUGUCUACCCAUCGUAUGUUAUUUUUAUGAGAGAGAAGCCUCUAGUGAAAACUAUGGCCCCGGGGUCCAUUUUAAUCAUAUUACUAAAACCUAAAAUACCUGGCUGCAAUUUUCUUUCUUUUAUUUUAAUUUUCAAUUUAUAUAUCUGUCACUACUAGAUUUAAUCCAUGCAAGUAAUGAGUUCAAGAGGAUUGACAACCCUCUUGCCCGCGUUGGGUGCAAAUAUUUGUCUUGUCUAUGUAGGUGUGGCUUACUAGGCAUUUGUGUGGUUCUCCUAUUGGUUCAAUAACCUUGGUUCCCACUGAGGGGAAUACUAUUCACUACUAUAUUGCAUCACCCUUCCUCUUCGGGAAAAUCCUAACACAACUCACAAGUAGCAGAAAGAAUUUCUGGCGCCGUUGCCAGGGAGACAUCAUCAAAUACCUACAUGUUCCUACAUACAAGUUAUCAUUUACUUGCUCUACUUUUUAUUUGCCUUCUCUUUUACAUCUCCCUCCACUUCUCUAAAAAAAUAAUAUUUUGUUUGUUUGCUUUAUUGCUUGCUUUGUCACUAUGUCUACCUCUACUAAUUACUUCAAGCAGAAAGGGGAAAAUUUAAAAGAUGCUUGGUUUAGAAUAAUGGAAUCUGAUCAUUGAAGGAAAUAUGCCCUAGAGGAAAUAAUAAAGUUAUUAUUUAUUUCCUUAUAUCAUGAUAAAUGUUUAUUAUUCAUGCUAGAAUUGUAUUAACCGGAAACAUAAUACAUGUGUGAAUACAUAGACAAACAGAGUGUCACUAGUAUGCCUCUACUUGACUAGCUCGUUGAUCAAAGAUGGUUAUGUUUCCUAACCAUAGACAUGAGUUGUCAUUUGAUUAACAGGAUCACAUCAUUAGGAGAAUGAUGUGAUUGACUUGACCCAUUCCGUUAGCAUAGCACUUGAUCAUUUAGUUUGUUGCUAUUGCUUUCUUCAUGACUUAUACAUGUUCCUAUGACUAUGAGAUUAUGCAACUCCCGUUUACCGGAGGAACACUUUGUGUGCUACCAAAUGUCACAACGUAACUGGGUGAUUAUAAAGGUGCUCUACAGGUGUCUCUGAAGGUACUUGUUGGGUUGGCGUAUUUCGAGAUUAGGAUUUGUCACUCCGAUUGUCGGGGAGGUAUCUCUGGGCCCUCUCGGUAAUGCACAUCACUUAAGCCUUGCAAGCAUUGCAAGUAAUGAGUUAGUUGCAGGAUGAUGUAUUACGGAACGAGUAAAGAGACUUGCCGGUAACGAGAUUGAACUAGGUAUUGAGAUACCGACGAUCAAAUCUCGGGCAAGUAACAUACCGAUGACAAAGGGAACAACGUAUGUUGUUAUGCGGUCUGACCGAUAAAAGAUCUUCGUAGAAUAUGUAGGAGCCAAUAUGAGCAUCCAGGUUCCGCUAUUGGUUAUUGACCGGAGACGUGUCUCGGUCAUGUCUACAUUGUUCUCAAACCCGUAGGGUCCGCACGCUUAACGUUACGAUGACAGUUUCAUUAUGAGUUUAUAUAUUUUGAUGUACCGAAGGUUGUUCGGAGUCCCGGAUGUGAUCACGGACAUAACGAGGAGUCUCGAAAUAGUCGAGACAUAAAGAUUUAUAUAUUGGACGACUAUAUUCUGACACAGGAAUGGUUCCGGGAGUUAUCGGAUAUAAAACGGACUACCAGGGGUUACCGGAACCCCCCCGGGGGUUAAUGGGCCUCAUGGGCCCAAAGUGGAGCAGAGGAGGGGCAGCCAGGGCAGGCUGCGCGCCCCCCUCUAGUCCGAAUUGGACAAGGAGGGAGGGGCGGCGCCCCCCCUUUCCUUUCUCUCCUCUCUCCCUUCCUCCCCCCUCUCCUAGUUGGACAAGGAAAGGAGGGAGUCCUACUCCUGGUAGGAGUAGGACUCCUCCCUGGGGCGCCUCCUCCUGGCCGGCCGCCCCUCCCCCUUGCUCCUUUAUAUACGGGGGCAAGGGGGCACCUCUAGACACAACAAUUGAUCCUUGAGAUCUAUUAGCCGUGUGCGGUGCCCUCCACCACCAUAAUCCUCGAUAAUAUUGUAGCGGUGCUUAGGCGAAGCCCUGCGACGGUAGAACAUCAAGAUCGCCACCACGCUGUCGUGCUGACGGAACUCUUCCCCGACAUUCUGCUAGAUCGGAGUCCGGGGAUCGUCAUCGAGCUGAACAUGUGCUAGAACUCGGAGGUGCCUUAGUUUCGGUGCUUGAUCGGUCGGGCCGUGAAGACGUACGACUACAUCAACCGCGUUGUGCUAACGCUUCCGCUUCCGGUCUACGAGGGUACGUAGACAACGCUCUCCCCUCUUGUUGCUAUGCAUCACCAUGAUCUUGCGUGUGCGUAGGAAAAUUUUUAAAUUACUACGUUCCCCAACAGUGGCAUCAGAGCCAGGUUUUAUGCGUUGAUGUUAUAUGCACGAGUAGAACACAAGUGAGUUGUGGGCGAUAUAAGUCAUACUGCUUACGAGCAUGUCAUACUUUGGUUCGGCGGUAUUGUUGGAUGAAGCGGCCCGGACCGACAUUACGCGUACGCUUACGCGAGACUGGUUCUACCGACGUGCUUUGCACACAGGUGGCUGGCGGGUGUCAGUUUCUCCAACUUUAGUUGAAUCGAGUGUGGCAACGCCCGGUCCUUGAGAAGGUUAAAACAACACUAACUUGACAAACUAUCGUUGUGGUUUUGAUGCGUAGGUAAGAACGGUUCUUGCUCAGCCCGUAGUAGCCACGUAAAACUUGCAACAACAAAGUAGAGGACGUCUAACUUGUUUUUGCAGGGCAUGUUGUGAUGUGAUAUGGUCAAGACGUGAUGAGAUAUAAGUUGUUGUAUAAGAUGAUCAUGUUUUGUUGAAGUUAUCAGCAACUGGCAGAAGCCUUAUGGUUGUCUCUUUAUUGCAUAAGAUGCAAGCGCCAAAUAAUUGCUUUACUUUAUCGCUAUGCGAUAGCAAUGGUUGCAAGAGCGGUAGUUGGCGAGACGACCAUGUGACGACACAUUGAUAUAGAUCAAGAUGAUGGAGAUCAUAGUGUCAUGCCGGUGACGAUGGAAAUCAUGACUAUACUUUGGAGAUGGAGAUCAAAGGCACAAGAUGAUGAUGGCCAUAUCAUGUCACAUAUUUUGAUUGCAUGUGAUGUUUAUCUUUUAUACAUCUUAUUUUGCUUAGUUGUACGGUAGCUUUAUAAGAUGAUCUCUUACUAAUUAUCAAGGUACAAGUGUUCUCCCUGAGUAUGCACCAUUGCGAAAGUUCUUCAUGCUGAGACACCACGUGAUGAUCGGGUGUGAUAGGCUCUACGUUCAAAUACAAUGGGUGCAAAACAGUUGCACACGCGGAAUAGUCAGGUUAAACUUGACGAGCCUAGCAUAUAACAGAUAUGGCCUCGGAACACUGAGACCGAAAGGUCGAGCGUGAAUCAUAUAGUAGAUAUGAUCAACAUAGUGAUGUUCACCAUUGAAACUACUCCAUCUCACGUGAUGAUCGGACAUGGUUUAGUUGAUUUGGAUCACGUGAUCACUUAGAAGAUUAGAGGGAUGUCUUUCUAAGUAGGAGUUCUUAAGUAAUAUGAUUAAUUGAACUUAAAUUUAUCAUGAACUUAGUCCUUGUAGUAUUAGCAUAUCUAUGUUGUAGAUCAAUAGCUCGCGUUUAGCUCCCCUGUUUUAUUUUUGAUAUGUUCCUAGAGAAAAUUAAGUUGAAAGAUGUUAGUAGCAAUGAUGCGGAUUGGAUCCGUGAUCUAAGGAUUAUCCUCACAGCUGCACAGAAGAAUUAUGUCCUUGAUGCACCACUAGGUGACAGACCUAUUGCAGGAGCAGAUGCAGACGUGAUGAACGUUUGGCUAGCUCAAUAUGAUGACUACUUGAUAGUUUAGUGCACCAUGCUUAACGGCUUAGAAUCGGGGCUUCCAAGACGUUUUGAACGCCAUGGAGCAUAUAAGAUGUUCCAAGAGUUGAAAUUGGUAUUUCAUACUCAUGCCCGUGUCGAGAGGUAUCAGACCUCUGACAGUACUUUGCCUACAAGAUGGAGGAGAAUAGCUCAACCAGUGAGCAUGUGCUCAGAUUGUCUGAGUACUACAAUUGCUUGAAUCAAGUGGGAGUUAAUCUUCCAGAUAAGAGAGUAAUUGACAAAGUUCUCUAGUUACUAUCACUGAGUUACUGGAACUUAGUGAUGAACUAUAAUAUGCAAGGGAUGACAAAAGUAAUUCCCAAGCUCUUCGUGAUGCUGAAAUCGGCGAAGGUAGAAAUCAAGAAAAGCACCAAGUGUUGAUGGUUGACAAAGACCACUAGUUUCAAAAAGGGAAAAGGGAAGAAGGGGAACUUCAAGAAGAACGACAAGCGAGUUGCUUCUCAAGUGAAGAAGCCCAAGUCUGGACCUAAGCCUGAGACUGAGUGCUUCUACUGCAAAGGAACUGGUCACUGGAAACGGAACUGCCCUAAAUAUUUGGCAGAUAAGAAGGAUGGCAAAGUGAACAAAGGUAUAUUUGAUAUACAGAUUAUUGAUGUGUAUUUUACUAGUGUUCGUAGCAACCCCUCAAUAUUUGAUACUGGUUCAGUUGCUAAGAGUAGUAACUCGAAACGGGAGUUGCAGAAUGAACAGAGACUAGUUAAGGGUGAAGUGACAAUGUGUGUUGGAAGUAGUUCCAAGAUUGAUAUGAUCAUCAUCGCACACUCCCUAUACUUUCGGGAUUAGUGUUGAACCUAAAUAAGUGUUAUUUGGUGUUUGCGUUGAGCAUAAAUAUGAUUGGAUCAUGUUUAUUGCAAUACGAUUAUUCAUGUAAGUUAGAGAAUAAUUGCUAUUCUAUUUACAUGAAUAAAAGCUUCUAUGGUCAUACACCCAAUGAAAAAGGUUUGUUGGAUCUCGAUCGUGGUGAUACACAUAUUCAUAAUAUUGAAGCCAAAAGAUGCAAAGUUAAUAAUGAUAGUGCAACUUAUUUGUGGCACUGCCGUUUAGGUCAUAUUGGUGUAAAGCGCAUGAAGAAAAUCCAUGCUGAUGGGUUUUUGGAAUCACUUGAUUAUGAAUCAGUUGAUGCUUGCGAACCAUGCCUCAUGGGCAACAUGACUAAGACUCCGUUCUCCGGAACAAUGGAGCGAGCAAUAAACUUGAUUUGAAAUAAUACAUACUGAUGUAUGCAGUCCAAUGAGUGUUGAGGCUUGCGGCGGGUAUCGUUAUUUUCUGACCUUCACAGAUGAUUUGAGCAGAUAUGAGUAUAUCUACUUGAUGAAACACAAGUCUGAAAUAUUUGAAAAGUUCAAAGAAUUUCAAAGUGAUGUGGAGAAUCAUCGUAACAAAAAUAAAAGUUUCUACGAUAUGAUCGCAGAAGUAAAAUAUUUGAGUUAUGAGUUUGGCCUUCAGUUAAAACAAUGUGAAAUAGUUUCACUACUCACGCCACCUGGAACACCACAAUGUAAUGGUGUGUCCAAACAUCAUAACCGUACUUUAUUAGAUAUAGUGCGAUCUAUGAUGUCUCUUACCGAUCUACCACUAUCAUUUUGGGGUUAUGCAUUAGAGACAGCUACAUUCACGUUAAAUAGGGCACCAUCUAAAUCCGUUGAGACGACACCAUAUGAAUUGUGGUUUGACGAGAAACCUAACCUGUCGUUUCUUAAAGUUUGGGUCUGGGAUGCUUUUGUGAAAAAGUUUCAACAUGAUAAGCUCGAACCCAAAUCGGAGAAGUAAAUAUGCAUAGGAUACCCAAAAGAAACUAUUGGGUACACCUUCUAUCACAGAUCCAAAGUCAAGUUAUUCGUUGCUGAGAAUGGAUCCUUUCUAGAGAAGGAGUUUCUCUCGAAAGAAGUGAGUGGGAGGAAAGUAGUUCAUCACAGAAAUCUGUUCCUGUGACUACUACACCAAUUAGUGAGGAAGCUAAUGAUGAUGAUCAUGUAACUUUAGAUCAAGUUACUACCGAACCUCGUAGGUAAACCAGAGUGAGAUCCGCACCAGAGUGGUACGGUAAUCCUGUUCUGGAGGUCAUGUUACUUGACCAUGACAAGCCUACGAACUAUGAAGAAGCGAUGGUGAGCCCAGAUUCCGCAAAAUGGCUUGAGGCCAUGAAAUCUGAGAUGAGAUCCAUGUAUGAGAACAAAGUAUGGACUUUGAUUGACUUGCCCAAUGAUCGGUGAGCCAUUGAGAUUAAAUAGAUCUUCAAGAGGAAGACAGACGCUGAUAGUAGUGUUACUAUCUACAAAGCUAGAAUUGUCGCAAAAGGUUUUCGACAAGUUCAAGGUGUUGACUACGAUGAGAGUUUCUCACUCGUAUCUAUACUUAAGUCUGUCCGAAUCAUGUUAGCAAUUGCCACAUUUUAUGAAAUCUGGCAAAUGGAUAAACAAAACUGCAUUCCUUAAUGGAUUUAUUAAAGAAGAGUUGUAUAUGAUGCAACCAGAAGGUUUUGUCAAUCCUAAAGGUGCUAACAAAAUGUGCAAGCUCUAGCGAUCCAUCUGUGGACUGGUGUAAGCAUCUCGGAGUUGGAAUAUACGCUUUGAUGAGUUGAUCAAAGCAUAUAGUUUUAUACAGACUUGCGGUGAAGCCUGUAUUUACAAGAAAGUGAGUGGGAGCACUACAACAUUUCUGAUAAGUAUAUGUGAAAGACAUAUUGUUGAUCGGAGAUAAUGUAGAAUUAUUCUGCAAAGCAUAAAGGAAUGUUAGAAAGGAGUUUUUCAAAGAAAGACCUCGGUGAAGCUGCUUACAUAUUGAUCAUCAAGAUCUAUAUAGAUAGAUCAAUAUGCUUGAUAAGUUUUUUCAAU
rnacentral:lncRNA from 1 species